rnacentral:rRNA from 1 species
UACGAAGGUCCCAAGCGUUGUUCGGAAUCACUGGGCGUAAAGGGAGCGUAGGCGGCGCGGUAAGUCAGAUGUGAAAUCCCGGGGCUCAACCCCGGAACUGCAUCCGAUACUGCCGUGCUAGAGUAAUGGAGGGGUAGCUGGAAUUAUCGGUGUAGCAGUGAAAUGCGUAGAUAUCGAUAGGAACACUCGUGGCGAAAGCGAGCUACUGGACAUUUACUGACGCUGAGGCUCGAAGGCUAGGGGAGCGAAAGGG